UACGGGGGGGGCAAGCGUUGUUCGGAAUUACUGGGCGUAAAGGGCUCGUAGGCGGCCAACUAAGUCAUACGUGAAAUCCCUCGGCUUAACCGGGGAACUGCGUCUGAUACUGGAUGGCUUGAGUUCGGGAGAGGGAUGCGGAAUUCCGAGGUGUAGCGGUGAAAUGCGUAGAUAUCUGGAGGAACACCGGUGGCGAAGGCAGCUCGCUGGGACGUUACUGGACGCUGAGA
rnacentral:rRNA from 1 species